AGAAAAUAAAGCAAGUUAAAACAAUUACUUACUGUAACAAGUCAAGCCAAUGCAUACAGAUUUAAGCCUAAUUCUGUGUUCCAUACAUUUUAGCACCAUCUCGUGGAAUCUGAUUGCCAGUUAUUACGAAUCUCUGCCGUUUCCUCGGAAUGGACUGAUGACUGCAGAGACUCCAUGGAGUGGACACUAUGUCGUUGAAAGUCCUAUCUGGAUCACAGCCCAUACAUCACAGUUCACCAAACCUGGAUGGAAGUACCUGUCCCAUGAUCACGGAGUCUGUAAGUUACACCAGGGAGGAAGUAUGGUGUCUCUAACCAGCCCCAACAACAAGGAUCUCACUAUUAUUAUAGAAACAAUGAGUCAUGGCCAUUCUAUUUGUAUUCGCCCUCCACUCCCGCCAUAUUCUGUCAAACCACAAAAUGUCACUAUACAACUUAAAGGCAAGUAUUUCAAGCGUAUAUGUGUGGAAGAGUAGCCUCGAUUUUGGACAGAAUACUUCCCAGUCUGACUUCUUCAGAUCUUUUGGACAAGUCAAGGUAAACAAUGGACAGAUCAAUAUUCCUGUCAAAGUUGAUGAAGUGAUCACCAUUACAACAUUGUCUACAGGACAAAAAGGACAGUACCCAAACUCUCCAGAUGUAAAGCCAUUCCCUCUGCAAUAUAGUGAAAACUUUGAUGGGUACCCAGAAAAUGUUGAGCCUUCACUCUUUGCUCAACAAGUAGGUGUGUUUGAAACCAGAAAAUCUGAGGAUCCUAGUCAUGGAAUGGUGCUGACCCAAGUCGUUACCUACCCACCUAUAUACUGGUGUAUAUUGAAUUUAGUCUUCCCAAUUGAUCUCAUAGGAAACUUUUCUUGGACUGAUAUUUCUGUGACUGUCGAGACACAAAUCCCCAAGGUCAGUGGAAGUUCAGGGACAUUUGUUGCUGUCAGGGUGGAUCAAGGGGGAUGCAAUGCUUGGGAAGCCAAGGGGAUUUUUCUCUUUAUACUUCCUGAUCAGCAGAAAUUUGUUCUUGCUAAUGACUUGUCUCGUACAAAAGUUAUUAAAGAAGGAUCAGUUAAUGUAUCAACAAAUGGAUGGAAUAAUAUAAGCAUCACUGUCAAAAAUUCUACCGCUGUUGGCAGUGUGAAUGGAGUUCCUUUGUUUACAACAACCAUUCCAUCCAAACCAUCCAAUGGAUUUGUUGCCAUAGCUUACACUAACUUAUCCAGGGAGUGUCAAGUCGUGAUGUCAGUCAUCAAUUCUGUCAAAAAUGAAAUAACCCUGUAGAUUUGUUUUUGGCUAAUUGACCACCAACUCCUUCUGUUAUUAAAAUUAAGGUCUAAUGAUAAUGCAAUGUUUAAAGUCAGCAUGCAUCCCAAACAACCAAUUUUAAAUUUAAAGCA
rnacentral:sRNA from 1 species